rnacentral:rRNA from 1 species
AUUGAACGCUGGCGGCAGGCUUAACACAUGCAAGUCGAGCGGGGAAAGGUAGCUUGCUACCUGACCUAGCGGCGGACGGGUGAGUAAUGCUUAGGAAUCUGCCUAUUAGUGGGGGACAACAUUCCGAAAGGAAUGCUAAUACCGCAUACGCCCUACGGGGGAAAGCAGGGGAUCUUCGGACCUUGCGCUAAUAGAUGAGCCUAAGUCAGAUUAGCUAGUUGGUGGGGUAAAGGCCUACCAAGGCGACGAUCUGUAGCGGGUCUGAGAGGAUGAUCCGCCACACUGGGACUGAGACACGGCCCAGACUCCUACGGGAGGCAGCAGUGGGGAAUAUUGGACAAUGGGCGAAAGCCUGAUCUAGCCAUGCCGCGUGUGUGAAGAAGGCCUUUUGGUUGUAAAGCACUUUAAGCGAGGAGGAGGCUACCGAGAUUAAUACUCUUGGAUAGUGGACGUUACUCGCAGAAUAAGCACCGGCUAACUCUGUGCCAGCCGCCGCGGUAACAC